CUUUGUUCGUUUAUAUAUAUUCCGGCGAGUUUUACUGCUGUUUCUUCUAUAUUGUUUCUUCUAUUUUUUUUUUGUUCUUUUUUUAACUAGAUCCUCUUUUGGAUAGUUGUUAUUAAUAUAAAUUCUGUUUUCUGAUAAUAUAUUCCGAUUAGAAUUGAUUUGUUAACUAGAUCUUCUUAUCUGUUUGUGUGCUACUAAUUUCCUAUUUUUAUUAAUUCUUCAUCCUAAUUGUUGAUUAGGCAACCAUGAUGCUAACCGGCUUUCAAAAUUCCUGUAUAAACUAAUAUUCUUGCUAAUCAACAAUUAGGAUGAAGAAUUAGGGUUUAGUCGGCGUCCUUAAGACAAGAGUAGAUACGGCAAAGUUGGAGGAGCUUAGGGAGUUAAUGGAGCUGAAGCGGAAUUCUCUGAGGAAGGAGCUGAGUCGGUCUCUGCAAGUGGAGAAUAUGCUCGCUGAGGUUAGGAAGCAAAAGAGCUUGAAUACGACUUGCGAAAAAAAGCUCGACUGGAGACUUGCAUAGAAGCAAUCGAGAAUUGAUUCGUUGACGAUGAAUCUCGAGAAAAUCUCUGCGUCCGACUACUCGCUGGAGAACAAACUCAUUGUUUUACAUCGAGAUCUGUACUGACCGCGAUCUGGAAGCCUGACACCGCGAUCUGGGAAAAACACCUGCAACAAACGACAGUGACUGGUGAGCUUGUAUGGGUUGAUUUCACCAUUUUUAAGGCUUCAGUGAAUGUGUCAGUGAUUCACAUUCAACUUACUUUCUCAAAAACAAUUAACUUUGAGUAAGCUUUGUCUAGAAAGCUUCUGUAUGGAUCCCAAAGUUGUUGUGUCCAUGUCGUAAGCAUUUCAUGUCAUGAAAGAUGAAGGAUUGCUCGAGAUAAUGGAUCAUCUCACCCCCAAGUUGAAAGAUGAGGUCAAGAAGCUGCUCAGCUCAACAUCUUUUCUUUAAGAAGAUGUAUGCUUAUCACAACCGCUGCAGCCAUCUCGAUCAACUGGGUCAGGUUACAAGUCAGCAUGGUCUGGAGCAGUAGAACUGUUUUACGCGGCAGAGUCAGGAAAAUGGAUAGAAUCGCAGAUAGUGAGGAACAGGAAGAGUCGGAAAUGGUCGGUGACAGAGGAGAUAAAGCACGGAGCAGAGGAGAGUGAAAGGAGUAUCUGCGAAGGUGAAGAAAAUGAGAGAAGAAGCAUCAUGUGUGUAGGAUGAUCCGGUGAAGAUCGUGUGUGAAAAGGAGGAGUUGAAGAGAAGGAAGGCAUUGGAGCUGAAAGAGAGGAAAAUUGGGCACGAGUAGGAGACGGUGGAGAUGGAGAUGGAGAAGCAGAGAGAGAGAGAGGUGGAUGAGAUAAAAAAUGGAUAAAGUUAAGCUAGAAAACCUGCGUGGAAUGCUUGAGAUGGAAAGCAUGAUGCUUCCAAUAGCCUAUUAAACCAGCGUAUAUAAAUGGCCACAGACACGGAAGUUAGCAUCGAACUGGAUACGUUCUUGACUCUUUUAUUUUUAAUUUCGUCAACAAACAACUCUGUCUCAUCUUAUAGUUUUACAUAUCCCAUUUUGAUGAAAAUCAUCAUAUUAACAUUUACACAUAAGUCAAAUUAUUGGUUUCAAAUACAGAU